rnacentral:rRNA from 1 species
UACGAAGGGGGCUAGCGUUGCUCGGAAUCACUGGGCGUAAAGGGUGCGUAGGCGGGUCUUUAAGUCAGAGGUGAAAUCCCAAGGCUCAACCUUGGAACUGCCUUUGAUACUGGGGAUCUUGAGUCCGGAAGAGGUGAGUGGAACUGCGAGUGUAGAGGUGAAAUUCGUAGAUAUUGGGAAGAACACCGGUGGCGAAGGCGGCGACCUGGUCCGAUACUGACGCUGAGGCGCGAAAGCGUGGGGGAGCAAACAGG